UUUUUUUUUUUUUCCUGCUGAUUCUUCUGAAUAUACCACAGGCAGUCAGGUCACUCUUGGCUCCUCUAGUUCAUCUCUUUCAGAUCCUAUCUCCCACACAACUAAGGCUGUUUCACACUUGCCAGUUCUUUGUUUCUUAGCUCUGGCAAUAAACUCCUGACCUGUUCUUUCCUAUAACUUAGAACCUCACAUGUCUCUGAAACAGAUAAGCAGUACAUGUGGAUUUAGACAUAACUUUCCUGCACUCCUUAGGGAAUUUGGUAAAGGAUGGCAGAGCAAAAAAGGGAACUCUUUCAUACUAGGAUCAUGUGAGGCUAAGUACUUUUCCAAAUGGCCAAAUCCUGGAAGGUCUUUCAGCCAUUCCUCUCUGGAAUGUACAUCUCUGGCCCUGGCCUGGUAGUCAUGCUUCUUUUUUUCUCCUGGGAACAUCACACUUACGUUCCUUUACUGUUCUCCAGUCUCAGUCCAUGUGUGUACAGUAGAGUGGUUCCCACGCUCCAGAUUCUGAGGUUACAGGUGGCCCUUGUCUGCCAGUGAGGCCAUACUAUUUACCUUGGCUAGAAACACUGUUUCAGGAGAAGGAAGGUGACCAAAGCCAGACCUUUCAAGCCAAAUAUAUUCAGUUUCCAAACUUCUUUUGGAACUAUUGGAUAAUAGGAACUUCUUUCAAACUAGGGCUGCAAAGCAGGAGAGGUAAAAUUGAGUGGAAGAGGAUUAAACUUGGUGAGAAUGUGCUUGAAUAUACCCAAAGCAUGGAAAGCUGAUCUGAGAGGUAGGGAGAGACUAAUUCCUAACAGUAUCACUUAGCACCCUGAGGCAGUCAGACCUGGGGAUUCAUUCCUUGAAUUUCUCAGUUGCAAUGGCAGUACAUUUCCUUGAAUUUCCAGUACAAUUCCUUAAAUUUCUUAGUUGCACUGGCAGUACAUUCUCUUUGUUGUUGAAGUUUCAUACAGUUGGGUUUCUAUCAUUUGUGUCCAAAAAGGUUCUGUCAAAUCUGCAAUCCAUUAAGGCAGGAGAAAAAUGAUGCGUGCAAUCUUUUGUCCAAAUAGAAGAGUGGCCUUUGAGGCAACUCACAGUAAAAUGAUGGUCUGUUAUAAUUUGACAUUUCCUGGCUCUAAAAUGGAUCCCAUGGCAGUGGCCACGGGUGCUUAGGAGGAUUUGGUCUUUGAGUUUUACAUGAAGCAGCACAAAGGGGUUUUAUAAUGGCUACUAGAUUCCUCUUUGGGAUUCCCUUCUCUGCUUCCUACUGAAAUGUAAAUGCCUGCACAAUGCAGAUGGCAUAUUUCAUUAAUACAAACAAAAGUCCAGGCAACAGAUGCUUUGGGGACUGAGGGGAAAGGAGAUCUCUGUAUUUCUCCAACAGCAACAACUCCGAUGAUAAAUUUCUCCCACUGAGCAUAUUGAACCAAGAGCAAAGAAAUGUGUAGUUUUCAAGCCUUAGGCACUCUACAGUAUUUAAAAGUAGGAAGAUCAAAAUCAGUAUUUUUGGACAAAGAGAUCUUAUGUUGAGGAAGCUGCAUUGAAAAGCAAUGGGCAAGAAAAGCUGAGUCCUGCUUUGUGAAUUUCACAGGGCUUGGGGAUGGGCAGGACUUCCAAUGUUC
ensembl:lncRNA